GGAUGUGAGGGCGAUCUGGCUGCGACAUCUGUCACCCCAUUGAUCGCCAGGGUUGAUUCGGCUGAUCUGGCUGGCUAGGCGGGUGUCCCCUUCCUCCCUCACUGCUCCAUGUGCGUCCCUCCCGAAGCUGUGUGCUCGGUCGAAGAGGACGACCAUCCCCGAUAGAGGAGGACCGUUCUUCGGUCAAGGGUAUACGAGUAGCUGCGCUCCCCUGCUAGAACCUCCAAACAAUUAAUGAAUCUUUUUUUUUUUGGUGGUGCUGGGGAUUGAACCCAGGGCCUCGUGCAUGCUAGGCAAGUGCUCUA
rnacentral:snRNA from 1 species